GAGACACCCUUCUGGGGCAAGACUUGCUUCAGUGGGGCUUUGGUGCUCACUGAGUCUGCCCCCUGAGUUUUUCCCU
rfam:Myotis davidii contig196643, whole genome shotgun sequence.